rnacentral:piRNA from 2 species
UCAUUGAUCUGACAAAGAUCUGCUUGG